rnacentral:rRNA from 1 species
ACGUAGGUGGCAAGCGUUGUCCGGAUUUAUUGGGCGUAAAGCGAGCGCAGGCGGUUUCUUAAGUCUGAUGUGAAAGCCCCCGGCUCAACCGGGGAGGGUCAUUGGAAACUGGGAGACUUGAGUGCAGAAGAGGAGAGUGGAAUUCCAUGUGUAGCGGUGAAAUGCGUAGAUAUAUGGAGGAACACCAGCGGCGAAGGCGGCUCUCUGGUCUGUAACUGACGCUGAGGCUCGAAAGCGUGGGGAGCAAACAG